GAUGAACGCUGGCGGCGUGCCUAACACAUGCAAGUCGAGCGUGAUUUAUGAGGACGAAACUUCGGUCUAGGAAUCAUAAUGAAAGCGGCGGACGGGUGAGUAACGCGUAGGCAACCUGCCCUUGACACAGGGAUAGCCUCGGGAAACCGGGAUUAAAACCUGAUAACGCCAAAGAGUCACAUGGCUCUUGGGCCAAAGAUUUAUCGGUCAAGGAUGGGCCUGCGUCUGAUUAGUUAGUUGGUGGGGUAACGGCCUACCAAGACGACGAUCAGUAGCCGACCUGAGAGGGUGAUCGGCCACAUUGGAACUGAGACACGGUCCAAACUCCUACGGGAGGCAGCAGUGGGGAAUAUUGCACAAUGGGCGAAAGCCUGAUGCAGCAACGCCGCGUGAGCGAUGAAGGCCUUUGGGUCGUAAAGCUCUGUCCUUGGGGAAGGAACAAAUGACGGUACCCAAGGAGGAAGCCCCGGCUAACUACGUGCCAGCCGCCGCAGUAAAAC
rnacentral:rRNA from 1 species